rnacentral:rRNA from 1 species
AUGCCUUCCUCGGCCAGCGCUUGCCGGACCUCCGGCACCGCGGAGAGGUUCUUGAGCGCGCCCGCCGCCGCGGAUUGCGAGAUGGAGUCCCCGGUCUGGCAGAUUUCGAUGAGUGGACGGACGCCGCUGUGGCCGACGAUUGCGCGGGCAAUCUCGGGUGACAUGGACAGACGCUGCAGCGUGAUGACGGCCUUCUCCCGGCCAACAAGGCUGCCGGACUCCGCCAGCCGGAUGAGCGGCGGCAGCGCGCCUUCCGACACCAGCAAGCCCUCGCAGCUGCCGGACUCGGCAAGCAAGCAGAGCACGGUGGCCGCCUUCUCCCUGAUCUUGGGCGCCGUCGCCGUCAGCAACUGCACCAGCGCGGCCACGUUGCCACGGCCGAGCGCCGACAGCACGCUCUUCUCGUCCUCGCGCAGCGCGUCAAGGAGGCCCUCCACAGCCCGGUGCUUCGCCUCGGCGUGCCCGAUUUGCAGCCUAGCGAGCAGCUCCCGCACGUCCGUCUGCGAGGCCGCCGCCGCCGCCGCCUCAGCCGGAGGAGACGGAACCGUCGCAUCUGACAGCACACCGGUCUUGACAAGCAGCUCGCAGUCCCGGAGGUUGAGGUCCAGCUUCCCGGCGAGAGCGUCGAGGUCGCUCUGCAUCUGCAGCUUGCCAGCCUUGGGCGGCUCGCGGCAGAGCACGCCGAGCUCGGCUGCCUCGGCGAGGGUGGCAGCAACGGACUGCAGCAGCUCCCGGCAGAGCGCGUUCUUGGAGAAGCAGGGGUGGCUGGACAGGUCGGACAGCUGUGCAAGCUCAUUUCCUGGUCGCACCAGUUACAACACCGCGCCUUGUGAUCUGCAGGCAUCCACUAGGUUAGCAACGCUCCCACCUCAGUCAGUAAAGGAAGGAAGAAGCGGACAAAUCCUGGAAAAAGAAAACAGCGAAGAAGAAGCUAGAAGGAGACAGAGGAAGGAAUCCUGCGCUAUUUUAAACGAACCGAAAUCCGUCGUGGAAAGCUACGGCUAA